rnacentral:lncRNA from 1 species
CGAAAGCGUACCUGAAUCCAUGAAUUUCUUAAAAUUUUACUGAAUUUUGAGAAUUUGAUUUUCCAAAUUAGCACACAAGAAAUUUAGAGAAUAUUUGCUCUCUCUUCCUUAAUAUUUAUAACAUUAGCAUAUGGGCUAAUUAGAAUUUGAUUAGAACUCAAUUACUAGACUAUUUACACAUAUUUGACCCAUACUUUAUUUAAUAAUUAAAGUUCAAUAAAAUUCUAGCCAAAUUAAAUCAUUUUUAAUUUAG